rnacentral:snoRNA from 1 species
UAUGGAUGAUGGGCUUGGAGGCUGAGAAGCUCAGAAAUUGUGUGUUGUCUAUCAGCUUGGUCUCUUAUCAGGUGAGAUUGGAGUUAAAUAACAGCACUAAAUUU